rnacentral:rRNA from 1 species
AGCGAACGCUGGCGGCAGGCCUAACACAUGCAAGUCGAACGAACUCUUCGGAGUUAGUGGCGGACGGGUGAGUAACACGUGGGAACGUGCCCUUUGGUUCGGAAUAACUCAGGGAAACUUGUGCUAAUACCGAAUGUGCCCUUCGGGGGAAAGAUUUAUCGCCAUUAGAGCGGCCCGCGUCUGAUUAGCUAGUUGGUGAGGUAACGGCUCACCAAGGCGACGAUCAGUAGCUGGUCAGAGAGGAUGACCAGCCACACUGGGACUGAGACACGGCCCAGACUCCUACGGGAGGCAGCAGUGGGGAAUCUUGCGCAAGGGGCGAAAGCCUGACGCAGCCAUGCCGCGUGAAUGAUGGAGGUCUUAGGAUUGUAAAAUUCUUUCACCGGAGACGAUAAUGACGGUACCCGGAGAAGAAGCCCCGGCUAACUUCGUG